rnacentral:rRNA from 1 species
UACGUAGGGACCGAGCGUUGUCCGGAAUCAUUGGGCGUAAAGAGCGUGUAGGCGGCCACUUAAGUCCUGCGUGAAAUCUUGCGGCUCAACCGCAAGCGGUCGUGGGAAACUGGGUGGCUAGAGUGCGGGAGAGGAGAGUGGAAUUCCUGGUGUAGCGGUGGAAUGCGCAGAUAUCAGGAAGAACACCGGUGGCGAAGGCGGCAUCCUGGACCGACACUGACGCUGAUGAGCGAAAGCCAGGGGAGCAAACGGG